GCGCUGAAAGAGGAGUCCGCGGCUGAUUAGCUAGUUGGUGAGGUAAUGGCUCACCAAGGCGAAGAUCGGUAGCCGGCCUGAGAGGGCACACGGCCACACUGGCACUGAAACACGGGCCAG
rnacentral:rRNA from 1 species